UACGGGGGGGGCAAGCGUUGUUCGGAAUUACGUGGCGUAAAGGGCUCGUAGGCGGCCAACUAAGUCAGACGUGAAAUCCCUCGGCUUAACCGGGGAACUGCGUCUGAUACUGGAUGGCUUGAGUUUGGGAGAGGGACGCGGAAUUCCAGGUGUAGCGGUGAAAUGCGUAGAUAUCUGGAGGAACACCUGUGGCGAAGGCGGCCCCCUGGUCGGAUACUGACGCUGAGACGCGAAAGCGUGGGGAGCAAACAGG
rnacentral:rRNA from 1 species